rnacentral:rRNA from 1 species
AUUGAACGCUGGCGGCAUGCUUUACACAUGCAAGUCGAACGGCAGCGCGGGCUUCGGCCUGGCGGCGAGUGGCGAACGGGUGAGUAAUGCAUCGGAACGUGCCCAGUAGUGGGGGAUAGCCCGGCGAAAGCCGGAUUAAUACCGCAUACGACCUGAGGGUGAAAGCGGGGGACCGAAAGGCCUCGCGCUAUUGGAGCGGACGAUGUCGGAUUAGCUAGUUGGUGGGGUAAAGGCUUACCAAGGCGACGAUCCGUAGCUGGUCUGAGAGGACGACCAGCCACACUGGGACUGAGACACGGCCCAGACUCCCACGGGGGGCAGGAGUGGGGAAGUUUGGACAAGGGGGGGAACCCUGAUCCAGCCAUGCCGCGGGCGGGAAGAAGGCCUUCGGGUUGUAAACCGCUUUUGGUCGGGAAGAAAUCCUCUGGGCUAAUACCCCGGGGGGAUGACGGUACCGGAAGAAUAAGCACCGGCUAACUACGUG